rnacentral:lncRNA from 10 species
CCCAUCUGUGGAAAAUGUAAGAUCAACCCCAAAUCCUGCAUGUUGUCAAAUACAGAUGGGUUUGGAUGACACAGGAAACCCCUUAAAGUCAUCUGCAAUGUUCUCAGCCCUGAGUUUGAUGGAUUACUUCUGUGAGUGAUGAGUCUCGCUCUGUCACCCAGGCUGGAGCACAGUGGCAUGAUCUCGGCUCACCGCAACCUCCGCCUCUCGGGUUCAAGUGAUUCUUCUGCCUCAGCCUCCUGAGUACCUGAGACUACAGGUGCCUGCCACGACGCCUGGCUAAUUUUUUGUAUUUUUAGUAGAGACAGGGUUUCACCAUGUUAGCCAGGGUGGUCUCUAUCUCCUUACCUCAUGAUCCUCCCGCCUCGGCCUCCCAAAGUGCUGGGAUUACAGGUGUGAGCCACCGUGCCCAGCUGAGAUCUGAUGGUUUUAUAAGGGGCGUUUCCCCCACUUUGCUUGGCACUUCUCCCUGCCGCCAUGUGAAGGACAUGCUUGCUCCCUCUUCUGCCAUGAUUGUAAGUUUCCUGAGGCCUUCUCAGCCCUGUGGAACUCUUCAGCCCCGCGGAACCGCAAUUUAUAAAUUAUCCAGUCUCACGUAUUUCUUCAUAGCAGCAUGAAAACAAACUAAUACAAGGAGGGGUACAACAAAAGAAAAUAGCAAUGACUAUUUAUCCCACUUAUAUAUGGGAGAGGCCUAAGUAUAAAUUUUCCAGAAAAAAAUUACAAUUUUAAGUUUCUUAAAAUUUUAAAGUGACCACAGUAUAACUGAAAUAAAAUCAUACAUCGGUACUUAAGUAGUACAACAAGUACAACAAGAGUGGGAAAAGAAUUUGCAGCAAAUAAGACAGGAGUUAAUAUCUUCAUUGUCUAAAUACUUCAUACAAAUUGGUAAGAAAAAUGCUGAAAGCUCUGGUAGAAUUGUCAAUUUAGACACAUCAGGAAAUAAUUUGGAGAAAUUUACCUCUUGGUUUGCUGUUUCUACUUUCUUGAGCCUUAACUAAAGAAACAAUCCAAAAUUGGGACAAAUAUAUUCAUUGUAGUGAUAUUUAUAAUGAAGCAAAUUUUAAAACAAGCACAAUGUUCAAUUAUUAAUACAUAGCUUAGUAGAAUCACUUAGUAAAUUAUGGCCCAUUCUCUCAAGCACACAAACAUUCAUUGAGCACCUACGUAAGCCAGGCUCUGUGCAAGGAGCUGAAGGUACAGAGAUGGACAAGGCAGAACCUCUGCCCUGUCUUCUAGUGUAAUGUAGCAUAUGACAUGGGGAGAAAAGGCAGGAAGUAGACAUUUAUUGAGGGACUUCUGUGUGCUUGGCAUUUUACCUAUGUUAUCACAUUUAAUCUUCUGAAGUGUUUAGUUACACAGCAUUUAAAUGAUAAGUUGGGAUGGGAAGAGGCCUUCAGAGGGGGUCACAUUGUGCAGGUUGGACAGAGCUGUGUGCAUCUUGCCAAGCUACUUGUUUUCUAUCUCUGGUUCUCAAUCCUUGCCUCUCAGGCCACUCCUAGGAACACUGGUGAGUGUCAAGUUUUGGCUGGAAGAAGGGGCUUUAGCUUUGGGUCUCCCUUCUAACCAAAUCUUCAGUUUCAUGCAGUGUAGAAAUUCUGGAGUUAUUGCUGACUGGAGGUCCCAGAUUUUUCCUGCUAGUUUCCAGAUUUCCAGAGAAAUCCACCUCUCACCAUCCUGCUCUCCAGCUUGCACCUCAAACCCAACAAAGUACUCUUCAAACAAAGGAUUGUCUGUUUAAUGGAAUCUCACCUCCUAUAAGAUAGUUGGGGUUAUAAACAGCAAAAUACAUGUUCACAUGCAAAAACAAGUGAGCAAACAAAGACCUUUAAUGGUUUCCCAAUACCUAAUUACAAAUUUACACACCAAAAAUUGAUUUUCCAGACCCUCUAUUACCUGCUUGCUCACCACCCAUUGCUCCCAAAAACAUCAUCUCCCUUCAGUGAUUCCAUUUUAGAAUCAUGAGGAUAUAAGACCACAUAAUAAUAAAAUCAGAGUGUACAAAUUUAACAAAAGUGAAUAAUAUCCUAAAUGCAAAUGAUGUGAAGUUAACUGAGUAUUAACCAAGGCACAGAACAAUCUUUGUAGAUGUGUGAAUCUGUGCAUAGGUAAUGAUUAUUAAGAACCUAACAGGAUUUCUGUACCCACAGUUAAGGUUCUUUUCAAACUGGUGAAAUAUGUGCUAAUGAAAUGAUUUCAUGACACCCUGAAUUCCCUGCCUGAAGAUCUUUUAAUAGACAGACCACCAGGGGCCAUAUAGUGGUCUGUUGACCACACUUCAAAGGAAAAUCCAACAGGAGCUAUUAAAAGAGAACAUAAUUUGGAAAGAGGUCAUGGUGGAGUCCGGGGAGUUUGUGGAAGAUGUUCCAGAAGCCAAGAGGCCAAUGCACUGAUAAAUGGUUCCUGG